rnacentral:rRNA from 1 species
GUGGGGAAUAUUGGACAAUGGGCGAAAGCCUGAUCCAGCAAUGCCGCGUGAGUGAUGAAGGCCUUAGGGUUGUAAAGCUCUUUUACCCGGGAUGAUAAUGACAGUACCGGGAGAAUAAGCUCCGGCUAACUUCGUGCCAGCAGCCGCGGUAAUACGAGGGGAGCUAGCGUUAUUCGGAAUUACUGGGCGUAAAGCGCACGUAGGCGGCUUUGUAAGUUAGAGGUGAAAGCCCGGGGCUCAACUCCGGAAUUGCCUUUAAGACUGCAUCGCUUGAUCCAGGAGAGGUGAGUGGAAUUCCGAGUGUAGAGGUGAAAUUCGUAGAUAUUCGGAAGAACACCAGUGGCGAAGGCGGCUCACUGGACUGGUAUUGACGCUGAGGUGCGAAAGCGUGGGGAGCAAACAGG